CAGUAGCCACGGUAAUACGUAGGUCCCGAGCGUUGUCCGGAUUUAUUGGGCGUAAAGCGAGCGCAGGCGGUUAGAUAAGUCUGAAGUUAAAGGCUGUGGCUUAACCAUAGUACGCUUUGGAAACUGUUUAACUUGAGUGCAAGAGGGGAGAGUGGAAUUCCAUGUGUAGCGGUGAAAUGCGUAGAUAUAUGGAGGAACACCGGUGGCGAAAGCGGCUCUCUGGCUUGUAACUGACGCUGAGGCUCGAAAGCGUGGGGAGCAAACAGGAUUAGAUACCCGGGUAGUCCCUGUCUCUUAUACA
rnacentral:rRNA from 1 species